rnacentral:rRNA from 1 species
CUGGCUCAGAAUGAACGCUGGCGGCAGGCCUAACACAUGCAAGUCGAACGGGACCUUCGGGUCUAGUGGCGGACGGGUGAGUAACG